ACAGCCCGGCCCUGCAGCAGCACGGACACGGGGCUGGACACUGACCGGACACCUGAGUGACCAAAGUGACCACAGUGACCAUCAGGGACAUCUGAGUGACCACAGUGACCAACAGGGACAUCUGAGUGACCAAUGGGGACACCUGAGUGACCACCAUGUCCAUCCUGGUGCCCACCAUUCCUACACCCACAACCUCCUUGACCACCAACCCCUCGCCCACCAUCUUGAAGGCCACCAACCCUUUGUCCACCACCACCCCACUGACCACCAACCCCAUCCUGAUGACCACCACCACCACCCCAAAGACCACCACGUCCAUCCUGGUGACCACCACGUCCAUCCUGGUGACCACCAACACCAUCCUGGUGACCACCAACCUCAUCUUCAUGGCCACUGACCCAUUGACCACCACCCCAAAGACCACCAUGUCCAUCCUGGUGCCCACCAUUCCUACACCCACAACCUCCUUGACCACCAACCCCAUCCUGAUGACCACCAACCCCUUGACCACCAUCUUGAUGGCCACCACCCCUAAGACCACCACGUCCAUCCUGGUGACCACCAUUCCUACACCCACAACCUCCUUGACCACCAACCCCAUCCUGGUGACCACCAACCCCUUGCCCACCACCCCAAACACCACCAUGCCCAUCCUGAUGCCCACCAA
rnacentral:lncRNA from 1 species